AGUGAACGCUGGCGGUAGGCCUAACACAUGCAAGUCGAACGGCAGCACAGUAAGAGCUUGCUCUUACGGGUGGCGAGUGGCGGACGGGUGAGGAAUACAUCGGAAUCUACUUUUUCGUGGGGGAUAACGUAGGAAACUUACCCUAAUACCGCAUACCACCUACGGGUGAAAGCAAGGGAUCUUCGGACCUUUCCCGGUUGAAUGAGCCGAUGUCGGAUUAGCUAGUUGGCGGGGUAAAGGCCCACCAAGGCGACGAUCCGUAGCUGGUCUGAGAGGAUGAUCAGCCACACUGGAACUGAGACACGGUCCAGACUCCUACGGGAGGCAGCAGUGGGGAAUAUUGGACAAUGGGCGCAAGCCUGAUCCAGCCAUACCGCGUGGGUGAAGAAGGCCUUCGGGUUGUAAAGCCCUUUUGUUGGGAAAGAAAAGCAGCAGGUUAAUACCCCGCUGUUCUGACGGUACCCAAAGAAUAAGCACCGGCUAACUUCGUG
rnacentral:rRNA from 1 species